UACCUAAAACGUUGCCUCGGCGGGAACAGACGGCCCCGUAACACGGGCCGCCCCCGCCAGAGGACCCCCUAACUCUGUUUCUAUAAUGUUUCUUCUGAGUAAACAAGCAAAUAAAUUAAAACUUUCAACAACGGAUCUCUUGGCUCUGGCAUCGAUGAAGAACGCAGCGAAAUGCGAUAAGUAAUGUGAAUUGCAGAAUUCAGUGAAUCAUCGAAUCUUUGAACGCACAUUGCGCCCGCCAGUAUUCUGGCGGGCAUGCCUGUUCGAGCGUCAUUACAACCCUCAGGCCCCCGGGCCUGGCGUUGGGGAUCGGCGGAAGCCCCCUGCGGGCACAACGCCGUCCCCCAAAUACAGUGGCGGUCCCGCCGCAGCUUCCAUUGCGUAGUAGCUAACACCUCGCAACUGGAGAGCGGCGCGGCCACGCCGUAAAACACCCAACUUCUGAAUGUUGACCUCGAAUCAGGGUAGGAAUACCCGCUGAACUUAAGCAUAUCA
rnacentral:rRNA from 1 species